GACGAACGCUGGCGGCGUGCUUAACACAUGCAAGUCGAACGGAAAGGCGCGGCUUUUGUUGGUUUCUCGAGUGGCGAACGCGUGAGUAACACGUGAGUAACCUCCCCCUGACUUUCUGAUAACUUCAGGAAACUGGGGCUAAUAUCGGAUAUGAUCUCCUGCUGCAUGUUGUGGGUUGGAAAGUUUCGGCGGUUGGGGAUGGUCUCGCUGCUUAUCAGCUUGUUUGUGAGGUAGUGGCUUACCAAGGCUUUGACGGGUAGCCUGCCUGAGAGGGUGACCGGCCACAAUGGGACUGAGAUACGCAGCAGAAUGCUACGGGAGGCAGCAGUGGGGAGUAUUGCACAAUGAGCGGAAGUCUGAUGCAGAAACGCCGCGUGCGGGAUGACGGCCUUCGAGUUGUAAACAGCUUUGGACUGUGCCGAAGCGUGCGUGACGGUAAUGGGUAAAGAAGCAACGGCUAACUACGUG
rnacentral:rRNA from 1 species